rnacentral:rRNA from 1 species
CCCUGCGGAAUAGCUCCGGGAAACUGGAAUUAAUACCGCAUACGCCCUACGGGGGAAAGAUUUAUCGGGGUAUGAUGAGCCCGCGUUGGAUUAGCUAGUUGGUGGGGUAAAGGCCUACCAAGGCGACGAUCCAUAGCUGGUCUGAGAGGUGGAUCAGCCACAUUGGGACUGAGACACGGCCCAAACUCAUACGGGAGGCAGCAGUGGGGAAUAUUGGACAAUGGGCGCAAGCCUGAUCCAGCCAUGCCGCGUGAGUGAUGAAGGCCUUAGGGUUGUAAAGCUCUUUCACCGGAGAAGAUAAUGACGGUAUCCGGAGAAGAAGCCCCGGCUAACUUCGUGCCA